rnacentral:rRNA from 1 species
ACUCCUACGGGAGGCAGCAGUGGGGAAUAUUGCACAAUGGGGGAAACCCUGAUGCAGCCAUGCCGCGUGUGUGAAGAAGGCCUUCGGGUUGUAAAGCACUUUCAGUAGGGAGGAAGGUAGUGUAGUUAACACCUGCAUUAUUUGACGUUACCUACAGAAGAAGCACCGGCUAACUCCGUGCCAGCAGCCGCGGUAAUACGGAGGGUGCGAGCGUUAAUCGGAAUUACUGGGCGUAAAGCGCAUGCAGGCGGUUUGUCGCGUCUGCUGUGAAAACCUGGGGCUUAACCCUGGGCCUGCAGUGGGUACGGGCAGACUAGAGUGCAGUAGGGGAGACUGGAAUUCCUGGUGUAGCGGUGGAAUGCGCAGAUAUCAGGAGGAACACCGGUGGCGAAGGCGGGUCUCUGGGCUGUAACUGACGCUGAGGAGCGAAAGCAUGGGGAGCGAACAGGAUUAGAUACCCUGGUAGCGUCGU